rnacentral:tRNA from 1 species
UCCCUGGUGGCUCAGAUGGUAAAGAAUCUGCCUGCAAUGCAGGAGACCCAGGUUCAAUCCCUGGGUAGUGAA